rnacentral:rRNA from 1 species
CCCCAGUCCUACGGGAGGCAGCAGUAGGGAAUCUUCGGCAAUGGACGAAAGUCUGACCGAGCAACGCCGCGUGAGUGAAGAAGGUUUUCGGAUCGUAAAACUCUGUUGGUAGAGAAGAACGUUGGUGAGAGUGGAAAGCUCAUCAAGUGACGGUAACUACCCAGAAAGGGACGGCUAACUACGUGCCAGCAGCCGCGGUAAUACGUAGGUCCCGAGCGUUGUCCGGAUUUAUUGGGCGUAAAGCGAGCGCAGGUGGUUUAUUAAGUCUGGUGUAAAAGGCAGUGGCUCAACCAUUGUAUGCAUUGGAAACUGGUAGACUUGAGUGCAGGAGAGGAGAGUGGAAUUCCAUGUGUAGCGGUGAAAUGCGUAGAUAUAUGGAGGAACACCGGUGGCGAAAGCGGCUCUCUGGCCUGUAACUGACACUGAGGCUCGAAAGCGUGGGGAGCAAACAGGAUUAGAUACCCUGGUAGUCCACGCCGUAAACGAUGAGUGCUAGAUGUAGGGAGCUAUAAGUUCUCUGUAUCGCAGCUAACGCAAUAAGCACUCCGCCUGGGGAGUACGACCGCAAGGUUGAAACUCAAAGGAAUUGACGGGGGCCCGCACAAGAGGGGC